rnacentral:rRNA from 1 species
AACGCGAAGAACCUUACCAGGUCUUGACAUCCUCUGACAAUCCUAGAGAUAGGACGUUCCCCUUCGGGGGACAGAGUGACAGGUGGUGCAUGGUUGUCGUCAGCUCGUGUCGUGAGAUGUUGGGUUAAGUCCCGCAACGAGCGCAACCCUUGAUCUUAGUUGCCAGCAUUUAGUUGGGCACUCUAAGGUGACUGCCGGUGACAAACCGGAGGAAGGUGGGGAUGACGUCAAAUCAUCAUGCCCCUUAUGACCUGGGCUACACACGUGCUACAAUGGAUGGUACAAAGAGCUGCGAACCCGCGAGGGUAAGCGAAUCUCAUAAAGCCAUUCUCAGUUCGGAUUGUAGGCUGCAACUCGCCUACAUGAAGCCGGAAUCGCUAGUAAUCGCGGAUCAGCAUGCCGCGGUGAAUACGUUCCCGGGCCUUGUA